UCAAAUGAAUUUGCUCAAAAGAAUUUUCCUUAUCCAUCUUAUGUUUUUGCGGAAUGAAACGUUUAAAUUUCUGCACCAUCUUCUUUAAUAUUUCAUGUUUAUUUCCGAAGAUCUCGAUUAUUUGUAUUCGUUCCGCCAUUGAGCCAUGCAAUGGAGCACCGAACGCUUUAUGGACUCGUGCACCGAGGUCAGUGCUGCCGCGUUUUUCAAUAUUCCAUGAGGGUAUGCUUGUUUGCCACGAGAAAGAGUUAAUUAACAUUGCAAAUUGAGCAGAGUGCCAUCCGUGGCACGUGGAAAGGUGUAGAAGUACAUGCCUUGUGCGCUCAUUGAAAUCUCCAAUUGGACAGUAGCGCGACUUCAAGCGAUUCAAACGCAAAUUCAAGAUAUGUCAUUAUUUAAACGAUUAUAGUACCAUUAUCGAGCCAGUGAAAGCAUCAACAGGGAAAUGAAAAUCAUCAACAGGAAAGUGCGGCCACGGAAUAUUAACCACCAAAAAAAGUUUUCACGUGCAAGAAAGGAGUACGUGAAUGUCAGGAAUUGCGCGUGCCACG